rnacentral:rRNA from 1 species
AUUGAACGCUGGCGGCAGGCCUAACACAUGCAAGUCGAGCGGAUGAAGGGAGCUUGCUCCUGGAUUCAGCGGCGGACGGGUGAGUAAUGCCUAGGAAUCUGCCUGGUAGUUGGGGAUAACGUCCGGAAACGGGCGCUAAUACCGCAUACGUCCUGAGGGAGAAAGUGGGGGAUCUUCGGACCUCACGCUAUCAGAUGAGCCUAGGUCGGAUUAGCUAGUUGGUUGGGUAAAGGCCUACCAAGGCGACGAUCCGUAACUGGUCUGAGAGGAUGAUCAGUCACACUGGAACUGAGACACGGUCCAGACUCCUACGGGAGGCAGCAGUGGGGAAUAUUGGACAAUGGGCGAAAGCCUGAUCCAGCAAUGCCGCGUGUGUGAAGAAGGUCUUCGGAUUGUAAAGCACUUUAAGUUGGGAGGAAGGGCAGUAAGUUAAUACCUUGCUGUUUUGACGUUACCAAAAGAAUAAGCACCGGCUAACUUCGUG